GAUGAACGCUGGCGGCGUGCCUAAUACAUGCAGGUCGAGCGAACGGACGAGAAGCUUGCUUCCCUGAUGUUAGCGGCGGACGGGUGAGUAACACGUGGAUAACCUACCUAUAAGACUGGGAUAACUUCGGGAAACCGGAGCUAAUGCCGGAUAAUAUUUUGAACCGCAUGGUUCAAAAGUGAAAGACGGUCUUGCUGUCACUUAUAGAUGGAUCCGCGCUGCAUUAGCUAGUUGGUAAGGUAACGGCUUACCAAGGCAACGAUGCAUAGCCGACCUGAGAGGGUGAUCGGCCACACUGGAACUGAGACACGGUCCAGACUCCUACGGGAGGCAGCAGUAGGGAAUCUUCCGCAAUGGGCGAAAGCCUGACGGAGCAACGCCGCGUGAGUGAUGAAGGUCUUCGGAUCGUAAAACUCUGUUAUUAGGGAAGAACAUAUGUGUAAGUAACUGUGCACAUCUUGACGGUACCUAAUCAGAAAGCCACGGCUAACUACGUG
rnacentral:rRNA from 1 species